ensembl:lncRNA
UCUUUUUUAUGUUUUGGCAAGACAAUUCAUUGUGUUUUACCUUCAAUAAAUUGCAAGUGUAUAUGCUCUAUUUCAGAUUACGGCCAUACCACACUGACAACGCCUGAUCUCGGAAGCUAAGCAGAGUUGGGCUGGGUCAGUACUUGGAUGGGUGACCGCCUGGGAAUACCCCGUGCUAUUACGGCCAUACCACACUGACAAUGCCCGAUCUCGUCUGAUCUCGGAAGCUAAGCAGAGUUGGGCUGGAUUACGGCCAUACCACACUGACAACGCCCGAUCUCGUCUGAUCUCGGAAGCUAAGCAGAGUUGGGCUGGGUCAGUACUUGGAUGGGUGACCGCCUGGGAAUACCCGGUGCUGUAAGCAUUUUGUUAACCUUCUUAAUUAGCAAAAUGAAGACAUGAAUAGAACUGUCCGCGUAUAUUAAGAAAAGACAAUUCAUUGGUUUUACCUUCAUAUAACAGCAAGUGUAUAUGCUCUAUUUAGAUUACGGCCAUACCACACUGACAACGCCCGAUCUCGUCUGAUCUCGGAAGCUAAGCAGAGUUGGGCUGGGUCAGUACUUGGAUGGGUGACCGCCUGGGAAUACCCGGUGCUGUAAGCAUUUUGUUUACCUUCUUAAUUAGCAAAAUGAAGACAUGAAUAGACUGUCCGCGUAUAUUAAGAAAGACAAUUCAUUGUGUUUUACCUUCAUAUAAACAGCAAGUGUAUAUGCUCUACUUUAGAAUUACGGCCAUACCACACUGACAACACCCGAUCUCAUCUGA